rnacentral:rRNA from 1 species
AACGCGAAGAACCUUACCCAGGCUUGAACAGCGAGUGACCAUCGACGAAAGUCGACUUCCGCAAGGACAAUCGUAGAGGUGCUGCAUGGCUGUCGUCAGCUCGUGUCGUGAGAUGUUGGGUUAAGUCCCGCAACGAGCGCAACCCUUGUCUGCUGUUGCCAUCAGGUUAUGCUGGGCACUCUGCAGAGACUGCCGGUGAUAAACCGGAGGAAGGUGGGGAUGACGUCAAGUCAGCACGGCCUUUAUGUCUGGGGCUACACACGUGCUACAAUGGCAGAUACAAACCGUCGCGAGACCGCAAGGUGGAGCUAAUCGGAGAAAGUCUGUCUCAGUUCGGAUAGCAGGCUGCAACUCGCCUGCUUGAAGUUGGAAUCGCUAGUAAUCGCGGAUCAGCACGCCGCGGUGAAUACGUUCCCGGGCCUUGUACACACCGGCUAC